rnacentral:rRNA from 1 species
UACGUAGGGGGCAAGCGUUGUCCGGAUUUAUUGGGCGUAAAGAGCGCGUAGGCGGCUAGAUAGGUCCGUUGUGAAAACUGGAGGCUUAACCUCCAGCUGUCGAUGGAAACCAUCUGGCUAGAGUCCGGAAGAGGAGAGUGGAAUUCCUGGUGUAGCGGUGAAAUGCGCAGAUAUCAGGAAGAACACCCGUGGCGAAGGCGGCUCUCUGGGACGGUACUGACGCUGAGGCGCGAAAGCGUGGGGAGCGAACAGG